ACUAGAGGCCAGGGCACUCCCCCAUUGUUACAACAAAAAAAUACCUCCACACAUGACCGACUGUCCCCUUGGAGGAGCCCGCUGGUCGGGACAUGCCCCUGUUCAGCCUCAGGCCCCAGGCACAGGCUCUCUUAGUGAGGGGCAGGGAGCUGGGUUUUUCUUUAGCUGGAGGGGAACAUGCAGGCCAUCCAGGUCUCCAGCUCUGUGCUGGAAGUCACCUUUGAGGCUGUAGGUGACCCCAGAGCCAGUGAGGCCAGGCCCAGCCCUAGGAACCCAGGACCGUGGGAGGGCAGGGUUCCCACUCAUUAUUUGGACAUCAGUGCUGUCUCCUCCAUCCCAGAGGCCAGUUUUUGCCCAGUCUGGCCUAUCCUGGAGGGCGGAGCAGCCCCAUCCUCUGUGCCAGCUCUAAGGCUCCUGUGUCCAGGGCCCUCUGUCCCUAUUCUGAAUCUCUCAAGGCCUUAGCUGCUCUCUACUUGAGUCAUUCCAACAGGUAGCAGAAGAAAUGCUGGCUCGGAGCAGCCCACAGGAGUUUGGGGAUGUGUCCACAUGUGGGCCACAGUGGCUCCCAUGCUGAGCUAGCUCAGGGCUGGACACCAUAGUGGACAGAGUCGUAAUGAGUGUCCUGAUUCAAAGCAAAGAAUAUGACGAUGCCCCAGUGUGAUACAGUAUUCAGUGCACCCCGGCUUGUGGGAGGACUCUGAAGAAGAAAGUCUGCACUCUCAUCCAGGCUGGUGUUGACUCUGAAUUUGCCUGUGCCCGUCUCUACAGCCCAGACAGAAAAGGCCUUGUCCCUGGGCCACCCCGAGACGUUAUCCUGAGCCCUGGAAGCUCUGUGUGGCUGGCCCAGCAGUUGCAGCCUCACUGGACAACGAGUGCUGAGCCCUGUGCUAACUCCGUGACGCUGCAAGGGAAGGCCGGUCACGCUGAGAGGCAAGGAGUUCACCGGAGAAAUGCUGGCUCCAAGUCUUUACAAUUUGCUUUGCCGCUAAUUCCCCUUAGAGUGCAGAGGAUGCAAGCAAAGGUGUCGGUAGUUAAUCCAAUAAUUAAAAACAAA
rnacentral:lncRNA from 10 species